AGAGUUUGAUCCUGGCUCAGGAUGAACGCUGGCGGCGUGCCUAAUACAUGCAAGUCGAGCGAACGGACGAGAAGCUUGCUUCUCUGAUGUUAGCGGCGGACGGGUGAGUAACACGUGGAUAACCUACCUAUAAGACUGGGAUAACUUCGGGAAACCGGAGCUAAUACCGGAUAAUAUUUUGAACCGCAUGGUUCAAAAGUGAAAGACGGUCUUGCUGUCACUUAUAGAUGGAUCCGCGCUGCAUUAGCUAGUUGGUAAGGUAACGGCUUACCAAGGCAACGAUGCAUAGCCGACCUGAGAGGGUGAUCGGCCACACUGGAACUGAGACACGGUCCAGACUCCUACGGGAGGCAGCAGUAGGGAAUCUUCCGCAAUGGGCGAAAGCCUGACGGAGCAACGCCGCGUGAGUGAUGAAGGUCUUCGGAUUGUAAAACUCUGUUAUUAGGGAAGAACAUAUGUGUAAGUAACUGUGCACAUCUUGACGGUACCUAAUCAGAAAGCCACGGCUAACUACGUGCCAGCAGCCGCGGUAAUACGUAGGUGGCAAGCGUUAUCCGGAAUUAUUGGGCGUAAAGCGCGCGUAGGCGGUUUUUUAAGUCUGAUGUGAAAGCCCACGGCUCAACCGUGGAGGGUCAUUGGAAACUGGAAAACUUGAGUGCAGAAGAGGAAAGUGGAAUUCCAUGUGUAGCGGUGAAAUGCGCAGAGAUAUGGAGGAACACCAGUGGCGAAGGCGACUUUCUGGUCUGUAACUGACGCUGAUGUGCGAAAGCGUGGGGAUCAAACAGGAUUAGAUACCCUGGUAGUCCACGCCGUAAACGAUGAGUGCUAAGUGUUAGGGGGUUUCCGCCCCUUAGUGCUGCAGCUAACGCAUUAAGCACUCCGCCUGGGGAGUACGACCGCAAGGUUGAAACUCAAAGGAAUUGACGGGGACCCGCACAAGCGGUGGAGCAUGUGGUUUAAUUCGAAGCAACGCGAAGAACCUUACCAAAUCUUGACAUCCUUUGACAACUCUAGAGAUAGAGCCUUCCCCUUCGGGGGACAAAGUGACAGGUGGUGCAUGGUUGUCGUCAGCUCGUGUCGUGAGAUGUUGGGUUAAGUCCCGCAACGAGCGCAACCCUUAAGCUUAGUUGCCAUCAUUAAGUUGGGCACUCUAAGUUGACUGCCGGUGACAAACCGGAGGAAGGUGGGGAUGACGUCAAAUCAUCAUGCCCCUUAUGAUUUGGGCUACACACGUGCUACAAUGGACAAUACAAAGGGCAGCGAAACCGCGAGGUCAAGCAAAUCCCAUAAAGUUGUUCUCAGUUCGGAUUGUAGUCUGCAACUCGACUACAUGAAGCUGGAAUCGCUAGUAAUCGUAGAUCAGCAUGCUACGGUGAAUACGUUCCCGGGUCUUGUACACACCGCCCGUCACACCACGAGAGUUUGUAACACCCGAAGCCGGUGGAGUAACCUUUUAGGAGCUAGCCGUCGAAGGUGGGACAAAUGAUUGGGGUGAAGUCGUAACAAGGUAGCCA
rnacentral:rRNA from 1 species